rnacentral:misc_RNA from 1 species
GAUGAAGAACGCAGCGAAAUGCGAUAAGUAGUGUGAAUUGCAGAAUUCAGUGAAUCAUCGAAUCUUUGAACGCACAUUGCGCCCCUUGGUAUUCCAUGGGGCAUGCCUGUUCGAGCGUCAUUUGUACCUUCAAGCUCUGCUUGGUGUUGGGUGUUUGUCUCGCCUCUGCGUGUAGACUCACCUCAAAACAAUUGGCAGCCGGCGUAUUGAUUUCGGAGCGCAGUACAUCUCGCGCUUUGCACUCAUAACGACGACGUCCAAAAGUACAUUUUUACACUCUUGACCUCGGAUCAGGUAGGGAUACCCGCUGAACUUAAGCAUAUCAAUAAGCGGAGGA